GGCACAAACUUGAAGUUGAAUAGUUGGGUAUGGUCAGCUGAUCCUACUAAUCUACUCUACUUCAAGUUUGUGCUC
rfam:Haemonchus placei strain MHpl1 genome assembly, scaffold: HPLM_scaffold0000335